CCGAAGGAGAGAAACGUGAGGUUAGGUCGAGUUGUUGCGAAGAUCGGCGGCAUUGCAAGUUGGUUCGAUAUAAGGGAUGAAAAUUUUCUAGUUUGCUGCCGACGAAUGUUUAACGGUUCGCUCUAUGGUUACUUAACAAAGUAGAAGCACGGAGUGCAUAUCCGAGCUUCACGAGCCCCGCAAGAUGACAAUCGCUUCCAAGAUGACACCGAUGAAUUCGUACUCGAGUGAGGAUUUUGAGUGAGAGAGAAUGGAGAUCCUGAGCCUUAUAUGUGAUUUUGAGCUACUAUGCCUGCACUGCUAUGACUGCAAAUAACGAGGGACUGACGGGUUCCGAGGUUCAUUACAAAUCAAUUUGGACCGUGUACAAUGAAGAACGAACGCAAUGCGUGCGAUGAAGGAAAGGUUUCGUCCACUGAAACAGGCCUUUGGUCCCACUGCCCGGCAGCGCGGAGAACUCGCGCAAAAAUGCCGCCUUUGAUCACGUAUCGCCGUAAAAGCGUCGACCUCACAAGUCGACAACGCGAUCCGUCCUUGCUUCCGUUUUUCACGCGUUUUCGCGCCUCGCGGAUUUCUAUCGCAACGUUUACCGCGUCCGCUUGCGGAACACUUACGACAUGAAACGCGCCGGCGUAGCAGGAUGGGAAAUUCCUAUCUUUGAUCACCGGAGUCGAAGUCAACGUCGAGGUCUCUUUGUACGAAAUCGAUCUUUCAACGAUAUUUCCCGACAUUUUCCCGAAUUAUGCCUUCAUUCUCGGUACACUCAUUUCUCUAUUUCUCGCUCGUCUCUAUUUUGCCUAUUUCGCAUUGCCUAUUUCGCGCGUCUCUUUAUCUCUAUUCUCUUUUAUAAUCUCUCUAAUUCUGUACUGUCAAGACGAAUAAUGUUUACGUAUCGAAGCGAUGCGAUAAGAUAAUCCAUCUACACACAGCUUACACCGAAAAGAAAAUAUGUGAGUAGAAUUAUCAACAUAUCGAAAAUCCCUUCUAUAUCCGACCAAGUCGGCUCGACUUUUCGAUCUGUGGGUUGACUUAUCGCUCUUUACCUAGUUUAUCGAAUUUUAUAUUGUGUUCUCAAAUAUGUGUAUAAUACGUAUGUUUGGAGAUUCAUGAUCUUACUCAUA